AACGAACGCUGGCGGCAUGCUUCAUACAUGCAAGUCGAACGGUUGUAGCAAUACAAUAGUGGCGAACGGGUGCGUAACACGUGGAUAAUCUGCCCCUUGGCGGGGGAUAUCGGCUGGAAACGGCCGGCAAUACCGCAUGUGGCCUACGGAACCUCGGUUCUGUAGAAGAAAGGCGCUUCACGGCGUCGCCAAGGGAUGAGUCCGCGGCCCAUUAGCUAGUUGGUGAGAUAAUAGCCCACCAAGGCUUUGAUGGGUAGCCGAGCUGAGAGGUUGAUCGGCCACACUGGGACUGAGACACGGCCCAGACUCCUACGGGAGGCAGCAGUGGGGAAUCUUGCGCAAUGGGCGAAAGCCUGACGCAGCAACGCCGCGUGCGGGAUGAAGGCCU
rnacentral:rRNA from 1 species